GUGGAGGGAAAAAUUUGUCCAAAGAAAAAAAUAUAUACGCCCACGUGGAGAAGACGGCAGACGUGGAGGGGCCAUCCUACCACGUGGAGGGGCUGCGUUCCAACUCUUUGUGGGGCUCUCUCUCUUUCUCUCUCUCUCUGAUCGGAACAGUCGGCGGCGCCUGUAAUCGUCGCCAUGGCCAUUGCUGCAGCAGGUCAGUGCUCCGCCGAUCGUUCCUAUCCCCUCUACGGCGAGGUCAGUGCUUUCACUGUCAUCUUCGUUUCUUCCAUUCUUUUGCCUGUUGGUGCAAAUGGUUCUGAAAGGUAAUACGGAACUCUUUCAAAUGGAUCUGAAAGAUAUUUCAAUCUGCCGUCGGUGUCCACCAAGUUCGAGACUGCAAACCUUCGGCGGAGUUCAAAGAUUUUCUCCAGAUCUCACCCUAGAGCUCAAGAAAGUGAAUUCCGUACAUUAGAUCGAUCCACGCCCCAACUUGCACCUCCCAAAAUUUCAACACCCUUAAUGGUAUAAAUUAGCUUAUUGAGCAGAAAUGUUCACUUUUUGAGCCGUGGCAAAUUUCAGGGGCUACACGUGAAGAAUUCUUUGUGAAUAGCAAGUAUUUGGGUGAAGACUGCUUUAAUUUCAGCAGUGACUGGCUUUUGACUUCAUUUUCAAGUGUGCCAUUUCAAAAGAAAUGGUCCAUGAUCGCAUAAAUUGACGGAAAAGGAUUCAUAUAGCCGACCCCACUUAGUGGGACUAAGGCUAGGUUUUGUUGUUGUUGUUGUUGUAUCAUUUCCCUGAUUAGUCGAACCUGAAUAGUUGCGUAAGAGAUAAGAGAUUGAUAAUUUGUUAUUUAAAAUAACUAUGGCCAUAAUUACUGUUUUUAUAUUUCUUACAGGUAUUGAAACUUGAAAGCUUCAAAUAUGGUAGCUUCGUUUCCCCUUUCUCAAUAUUAAUUCUUUGUUUUUAUGUGGCUUUGAUGCUUUGUUCCACAUGAAUUUUUUUUUUAAAAAAAAAAAAAAAAAGGGUAAAAGAAAAGCACAUGAACACUCAUUCAAUAAAAUAUUUGGAAGAAAUUGGGCUGACCAUGUUAAAGGAGUAGUCCAUCUGUUCAAAAUUUGAAACAAUAAGCUUGGGUUGUCACCACCCUCCCAACCAUUGCUGUAGAAUUUUCACUGAUGUGUAGGUCUCCCCUCCUUGAACGCAUCUUCAAAAGAGCCAUUGGGGAGUUUCCCUGGAGCUCUCCGAAGUUCAUUUUGUGAGAUCAUGAAACUGACUCUCCCUAGAACCAAGUUAGGCAUCACUACGCAAUUCCUCAACUAUGGGAAUCAAGAAUUCCUUAUCAUUUACCUCCAAUAUUACUUAAUUGCUUAUUAGAUUUGGGAAUAAAAACAUCCUAAAAGACAAUAUGCCACUAAAAUUACUUAAAACUUCCCUGGUCAACAAAUUCCGGUAGGUUGUCUUUCUUGGCAUUCCAGAUUCCAUUUUAACUCUGUUAUUUUUAUACCCCAUAUUUUCCUUCUUGCUUAUCAAAUCCCUAUUCCAGAUCCUAUGAUUCUUAGUUAGAUUCAUACAGUUCAAUCGGAUACAGUGUUCUACCAGUUCGAAUCCAUGUAGGUAAAAUUAACUUUGAAUCUUAUGAAUCCGGAUUCAAAUCCUACUGUUCAUGAUUCAUGAGUAAGUGAUCAAAUUCACACAAAUCUAAAUUAGAGAUUUGAAAUCCAUGCCCUCAAAAAUGGUACAAGCGUUACAUCCUCUAUUAGAUUUAAGUAUUUUUGACAUGAGAAUACUGGUGCGCAUGCCAUUACAAACAAUUGCUUUAGAUAAAAUAAAACUGGAGCUUACCUUUGCACUGUUAAAAGUCACAGUUUCACAAUCUGGUAUGAUACUAAUUGACUUUGGGAGCAAUUCAAACGAUCUGUUUUGAAAUUGGACAGUGGCAGUAUUGUUUCCAUCAUUGUUCACAAGAAAAGCAGCACAUCCACUUCCUUGAAAAACAUAUGCCUGAAUUGAAUCAAACAUAUUUGAUCUUUACAUUUAUCAUGUAUGCCUAGUAAGCCAAAACAAACAUAAAUUCAAUAUAUUAGAAAAAUACCUGUUGAAGAUUCCCUAAAGAGAAAUUCUUUUGCUCUCCUUGUAGUAAAGGUGUUGAGCAAAGCUUUAUUGCAGCAUGCAACUCCUUAAGAUGGCUCCAUUUGGGUUCUCUAUAUAAUCCUAUAUAUAUGUGUUAAAUAAAUUCUUAAAUAUCUAUAUUUGUGUACGCAGUAUGCAUGCACAUGUUUAUAUACACACACACUUACCAUAUUCAUCUAGUGGUGCCUGGUCAUAAUAACCUGUUAUGACAUAUGCGGAGCUGGUCCUUCCAAAAUUUGUUCCUCCAUGGUACUAGAUUAGGUUGUGAUGCAUGUUAAAUGUGUUAAGAACUUAUGCUAAAGUAAAUUUAAAAGUUUGUAUGAAGACUAUAAAUUUGUCUUAAAAUUAAUUCAGAAAAAGAUGUUAUAAGAGAAUCAUACCAUAUAAUAAUUAAUAUAAAUUCCCUUUUUGGCGACGAAUAGGGCCACAUGAAAUGCUAUGUCUUCUGCAGACCUUAUGUAUGGCUCUCCUCCGAACACUUGAUAACUUCCCAAAUAAAAAAAAAAAAAAGAGAAAAAGAAGAGUGAGUUCACCUUGUAACUAAAUAAAAAUCUCACUUUAAAAAAGUUUAUCUAUACUAAUAAAAAAUUUGAAGUGUUUUUUUUUUAGGAAUACCCAUAUUUUAAAAAAUCAAAAUUUAGUUGCACAUUAAGAGUAAUAUAUUGCAAAAUCAUACAAAGAAGUCCAAUUCUCUGUCCACAUAGAAGGCUUAUUUGGGGAGUUGGGUCCUCCGAAGGUUUCUCCACAUCUCAUGCCAUUGCAUGUGUUAAUCUGCAUAAAACCAGAAACAGGAAAAAAUAAUUUAUGGUGUUUGACAGUGUUUUCGUGUUUAUGAAACUCUAGGAAAAUCAUCUACACUAUAUUGCCGACCAAAUUAUCUUAAGAUCUUCAACUCUCAAAUAAAUACAUGCAUAAGCACGUAUGUAAGGAUUUUGGAUCAAAUGUAAAGGUUGUUACUUUGUGAUCGGCUAGUCAUGCAUUUGAAUUCUAGGAAAUAACCUUCCUACAUAAACAUGUAGGGAUAAGGUUAUGUAUACUGUGACGACCAUCUCUCUACAGUUGUAAAACAGGGAGUCUUGUGGUUCGGAGACAUCUUUAUACUUAUGUAUGUUUAUACACAUGUAUCUAUAUAUGUUUGUGAUGAGGUGUGACUUAAGAAUGGAAAAUGCUGAGUGACGUGGGUCCAUGAUGACAUGGGCUGAUGUGGUAAGGCACCAGUGGGUCCACAUCUUCUGCUAGUGCCCUGCCACAUGGACCCGUGUUAUAUGUCACGGUUGCUCAAGAAUGUAUGUGGAAAAGAGAUGGUGGGGGACAAACCACGGGAUCGGGAGCAUCAGUUUGCUUGCACAUGAUCCAUGGUACACCUGUUUGGAGAUCAACGGCCAUCUUGGCUGCCCACUGAACGUAAGAAGGUCCUUUCUCGUGAAAUGCUGCUUCCACAUUCUGGAACGCAGUUCCAAAAUGAUUUCAGGUACUGAGUGUGUCCGGCUCUAUAUCCAAGGGUGUGUAUUUAUCGCUUGCCACGUAUGCAAGAGUGUCCGGCUCUAUAUCUGAGGGCGUGAGUCUAUUCCGGCCGAUCAAGGCGAAGGGUGUGGAUCCAUCAGUUAGCGCCAGUACAAUGUCAUGGGAGUCGAGGAUUAGCCAUGUGUUGGUGGCGCCGUGCUUCACGAGUUGGCUAUGGGCCAAUGCCGGAAUGCCGGACCGGUUUUGGGCCAAUGAGUGUGAUGACACUGUGUAUUACUGAUCAUGUGUGUGUAUUGUGAUGGGGCUGCGUAUAAAUGGCCGCUGUAUGCGUGCGUGUAUGCACUGUGUGAAUUAGUACUGGAUUGCAUUCAACUGCGUGUAUGUUGUAUCAUGAUAAUACUCAAAUGCCACACACCGAUAUAACCUGUAUUCUUCUUUACUGAGAGGUGUUUCACCCUUGCUAUAUGUAUAUUUUUAUAGGUCCUUCGAGUAACCAGAACUAACGUCCUGGUGUAGGGAGCGUAGUAGCCGGUGUACUGCAUUAGCGUUUGGGUAAGUGUUAGGACUGUAGUUUGUUAGGUUGCCAUUUUAAGUUGUAUUUGGGCACCCAGUUUGUACGUUUUGUUAAAGCCAUGUUCUGCUCUUGUAUAGACUCUGAUAUGGUAUUGCAUAUGUUGAUAUAGAAUGACUUUUUUCCGCU